AGUUCGAGGCGUAGGGUACAGAGGUACAGGUAAGAUGUUCUAUCUUUCAGACCUUUUACUUCACGUAAUCGGAUUUGGCUGAAUUUAGCCGCCCCAGUCAUUCUGUGACUGGGGCGUUUUUUA
rfam:Pantoea stewartii subsp. stewartii DC283 WGS_Sequence33, whole genome shotgun sequence.